GCAAUGGAUCUCUUGGUUCUCGCAUCGAUGAAGAACGCAGCGAAUUGCGAUACGUAAUGUGAAUUGCAGAUUUUCAGUGAAUCAUCGAAUCUUUGAACGCACCUUGCGCCCCUUGGUAUUCCGAGGGGCAUGCCUGUUUGAGUGUCAUUUAAUUAUCAACCAAUUUAGUCUUUGAUUAGACUUUUUUGGAUUGGAGUUGGGAAUUGCUGGUCUUAACAAAGGAUCAGCUGUCCUUAAAUGCAGUAGCAAGUGAAAGUGAUUUUACGUGGCACGGCCUUUGACGUGAUAAUGAUCGUUGUGGGCUUGGAAGCGUUUAAUUAAGCUAGUAGUUUGCUUUAAUUAUAUAACGAGUGAAUUUCUAUGUGCAUACGGCUGGAAAGCAUUAGUAAUGGAAGCUUGAGCGGGAAGCUUGAGUGAAAGUGAGAAUGUGUAGUAGGCUGGAAGGCGCAUAGCAUUGAAGCUAGUUAAACAAGGAAUUGAAAAAUAACCUGUGGAAUAUUUCUAUGUGCAUACGGCUGGAGAAAGCAUUAGUAAUGGAAACUCUUAGUGUAAAGUGAACUCAUGGGUUCCAUGAUAGUAAUGAAAAGCUUUGAGUGAAAGUGAGGAUGUGUAGUAGGCUGGAAGCAUAGUUAUUGAGAAACUAGUGAAAAAGUAAAUUCCGACUUGAAAGUUGACCUCAAAUCAGGUAGGACUACCCGCUGAAUU
rnacentral:rRNA from 1 species